UACAGAGGUCUCAAGCGUUGUUCGGAUUCAUUGGGCGUAAAGGGUGCGUAGGUGGCGCGGUAAGUCGGGUGUGAAAUCUCGGAGCUUAACUCCGAAAUUGCAUUCGAUACUGCCGUGCUUGAGGACUGGAGAGGAGACUGGAAUUUACGGCGUAGCAGUGAAAUGCGUAGAGAUCGUAAGGAAGACCAGUGGCGAAGGCGGGUCUCUGGACAGUUCCUGACACUGAGGCACGAAGGCCAGGGGAGCAAACGGG
rnacentral:rRNA from 1 species